rnacentral:rRNA from 1 species
GACGAACGCUGGCGGCGUGCUUAACACAUGCAAGUCGAACGGAAAGGCCCUGCUUGUGUGGGGUGCUCGAGUGGCGAACGGGUGAGUAACCCGUGAGUAACCUGCCCUUGACUGUGGGAUAACUUCAGGAAACUGGGGCUAAUACCGGAUAGGAGCUCCUGCUGCAGGGUGGGGGUUGGACAGUUUCGGCGGUUGGGGAUGGACUCGCGGCUUAUCAGCUUGUUGGUGGGGGAGUGGCUUACCAAGGCUUUGGCGGGUAGCCGGCCUGAGAGGGUGACCGGCCACCUGGGGACUGCGAUACGGACCAGACUGCAACGGUGGGCAGCAGGGGGGAAUAUUGCCCAAUGGGCGGAAGCCUGAGGAAGCAACGCCGCGUGCGGGAUGACGGCCUUCGGGUUGGAAACCGCUUUCGCCUGUGACGAAGCGUUAGUGACGGUAAUGGGUAAAGAAGCACCGGCUAACUACGUG